GGGGGGAAGAUCAACUGGGAACGAUCGGCUCUGGAAAGUGGAAAUUGGAGAGAUCGAAUCUCUCAUUCUCCCCG
rnacentral:tRNA from 1 species